rnacentral:rRNA from 1 species
CGUACAGGAAGCAGCUUGCUGCUUCUCUGACGAGUGGCGGACGGGUGAGUAAUGUCUGGGAAACUGCCUGAUGGAGGGGGAUAACUACUGGAAACGGUAGCUAAUACCGCAUAACGUCGCAAGACCAAAGAGGGGGACCUUCGGGCCUCUUGCCAUCGGAUGUGCCCAGAUGGGAUUAGCUAGUAGGUGGGGUAACGGCUCACCUAGGCGACGAUCCCUAGCUGGUCUGAGAGGAUGACCAGCCACACUGGAACUGAGACACGGUCCAGACUCCUACGGGAGGCAGCAGUGGGGAAUAUUGCACAAUGGGCGCAAGCCUGAUGCAGCCAUGCCGCGUGUAUGAAGAAGGCCUUCGGGUUGUAAAGUACUUUCAGCGGGGAGGAAGGCGACAGGGUUAAUAACCCUGUCGAUUGACGUUACCCGCAGAAGAAGCACCGGCUAACUCCGUGCCAGCAGCCGCGGUAAUACGGAGGGUGCAAGCGUUAAUCGGAAUUACUGGGCGUAAAGCGCACGCAGGCGGUCUGUCAAGUCGGAUGUGAAAUCCCCGGGCUCAACCUGGGAACUGCAUUCGAAACUGGCAGGCUAGAGUCUUGUA